AUGGAGAUGAGACUGAGCUGGUUUUUCCUUGUUGCUCUUUUAAAAGGUGUCCAGUGUGAGGUGCAGCUGGUGGAGUCGGGGGUGGGGGUGGCUUGGUGCAGCCUGGAAAGUCCCUGAAACUCUCCUGUGCAGCCUCUGGAUUCACCUUCAGUAGCUACUGGAUGAACUGGGUCCGCCAGGCUCCAGGGAAGGGGCUGGAGUGGGUUGCACAAAUUAGAGACAAAAGUAAUAAUUAUGCAAUACAUUAUGUGGAGUCUGUGAAAGGCAGAUUCACCAUCUCAAGAGAAGAUUCCCAAAUCAGCCUCUACCUGCAAAUGAACAACUUAAGAGCCGAGGACACCGCCAUUUAUUACUGCACUAGAGCACCUGGGCACCAGGACCCUGAAAUCAGCUGA